rnacentral:lncRNA from 1 species
UAUCAUCCUACAAAAACUUUAUAUCCUACAAGUGAGGGGAUUGGGUAGUCUAAGCCUAGAUCUGACAUAUCAUAAGGAAUUUACCCUUAACUAGGUCAUGCUUGUAUAUUAUCUUACAUAUCUCGAAAUUGUUUGGGUUUCCCAUGCUAAUUAUUAUCCCUAUCUAUAAGGAACCUUCUUAAACAAGGCAUCCUUAUAUUUGGCAUUAUCCUUAAACCCAUAUGUGGGUUUUAUAUCCAUCAUAAUCCCUAAACCUGUGUGGGUUCUCCU